ACGAGGCACACCUGAGCAGAAGUUGUUUUGCAGGCAUGAGAAAUCACAGUGAGAGCAACGCUUUUUCACCAUAUGUUAAUGUGAAGAGUGAACAGUAAAUGGUUAAUCUUACUGCGAUCUAAGUAACGACGGUCGAUAAUGUUUAUGCUUUCGUUAGUUAAAGAGUCGCGGAUAGUUUGCAUGGAAGUGUAUUUAAAGUAGUCAAUGGAGCAGUUUUCACCAUAUGUUAAUGUGAAGAGUGAACAGUAAAUGGUUAAUCUUACUGCGAUCUGGUUCGUAUUGACUGUGGUUUAUCUCAACGUUUAAUUCGGCGUUUCGUUACACGCGAAGGAGAACGUUACAGCAUACAAAUGUCACACCUUUUGGCAAGUAUUCUUGCAUGGCAGCAAGAUCUAGAAGGCAUUUGAACCAGGAAGGCUGCAAGUAGAAUGUCUGCCCCUGGAAUUAAUACGGGUAGUAAGACGAAGGAGUGACCCAGAUCAAACACAAUUCAACCCAUUAGUUCUGUUAAAAUAGUUAUCCAUUCCCCACUGUAUGAAUUAUUUUGAAUCCCAGAUGUAUAUCUCACAUCUCCUCUCAUUCUUCUAUGCUUCUGCUGAACUUGUGCCACCUAUUUACAGAAAGUGUAAAUGAAUCAUCUCUGCUUAUCCUCUAAAUGUCUCCAUACUUUGGGAAAUCUCUUUAGCUGAUCCUCACACAUUAAACCUAAGUCUUAUACUAGUUGAUGUUUUCAUCCCAGCAAAAACACCCUGACAAUUUACACUCUCUGUGGCUCCCAUAAUUUUAUAUCAUUCUAUCCAGCCCCAUCAGCCUCUGACACUCCAGAGAAAACAAUCCAACUUUGUCUAACCUCUCCUUAUCACUAAUAUGCCCAGUAAAUGUCUUCUGCACCUUCUCCGAAGCCUCCACACGCUUUCUAUAGUGUGGUGACCAAAACUGCACACGAUACUUCAUAUGUGACCCAAUCAACAUUUUAUACAGCUGCAACAUGACUUCACAACUUCCAUUCUUCCGGAUUUGCGGUUAAGAUGGUGCCUGUGUACAAUGUUCUCUCAGUCAACAUCUUUCAGACAGCUCAUGAAAACGUCUCUUUUUACUUCUUUUCUGUCUGUUUUUCACCUUAAAUGUGUUUCUGGGACUGUUAGAUCCUAUGAUUUAUGUUUUGGAUUUGGACUGAUUAAGCUGUCUCUGAGAAGAUCCCGGGAAGCGAGCGCGUGCUUGAACAGUCUCGAUGUGAAGGAACUUCGAGAUGGAACGUGAAGCGAUGUUCAACGCCAUUACACCGUUUAAAGCAUCUAUUAAUCGCCGAUUGAAGCAUUGAGGCAAAUGCAGAAGGCGAGCAAGAGUUCAAUGCCGACUGCCUUCCUUUUGAUCACUGCUGGAGAAGGAAUCUGUGAGCAGCCAGUCGCUGUGUGGCUCGCUGUGGCAAUGUCGAUGAAGAAACGCAGGACAAUGGAUCAUCUGGACUUCCCCUCUGAGUAAUGCGCAAACCAGACCAGGAGGAAGGGAAAACUUCAUGUAUUAUCUCAAGCUCAUAAGUAUGUUAUGAAAGGUGGUCCACAGAGAAAUAACCUAGCUAGUACCCUACCGUUCUCAGAAGUCAGAGCUGCAUCUCAGGGAUGUAUGCGUCUUGUGGGAGACAAUCGCCACCAUUUCACCACAGAGCGGGGCAUUGCCAGCAAAACAGCAUCCAAUUUUACACCUUCUCUGUGUAAAAGUACAGUAAGAAGACUGUCUUUGUCCUUUCUGGUCAACUUUCAUGAUAAUCUCUCAUCGUUCUACUCACAGAAAAACUCUCAGCCGGAAUGGAGCAGAUUAAACAGUUCCCUGUUCAAUCAUGUCUGUCACUGAUCAGGAUUAAAAAUACAUGCAUAAUCUGCAAUAUGUAAAUGCCUUUCACUUGCCACAUUAGGGGAGCUGCUAUAGUUUUAUUCAAGGACUUCACGCAGCAUGUGGUGACUUCAAUUAAUACAAAAUCUGAUUGCCAUAAUCUAUGUUUUCUGCUGUGCCUGCAGUUCAAUUACAUCAGUACUCUCUUUGAUAAUAUUUGCAUAUCAAAAAUAGAAAUGAAAUAUUUGAGUAGCAUGUAUGUUAAGGAAACAGUGUGAGAAUCUGGGGAUGGCACAGUAGCAGAGCUGUUAGCAUAGCGUUAUUCAUCCUGGGUUCAAUUCUGCCACUGUGUUUAAGUUCUCCCUGAGAGCCCAUGGGUUUACUUUGUAUGCUCCCACAUUCCAAAGACGUAUGGGUUAGUAGGUUAAUCGGUCACAUUUGGUGUAAUUUGGUGACACAAGCUCAUUCAGCUUGAAGGCCUGAUACUGUGUUGUUU